rnacentral:lncRNA from 1 species
UGACUAUGUGCAUAAUGGAGCUAUGACAAAAAUUAGUUGACCACACACAUGCAUAUUACUUUUCUUUAACUGCUGACUGAUGGAAAUUGGUUAAAAAAAUUGAACUUCUGCCUGGAUCAAGAUGUGGUGCUUCACAGAAUAUAGACACUACAUAUUGUCCAAAUUAGAGUCAUGCACCUCACCUGUGAUUCUGCACAUUUGAAAUCCCACCUCAUUUUCCAUGCAUAGAAAAAUGUAUCUUCAGAAACUGAAAUUGUUUUCCAGAAAGCAGAUGGAAUGCUGCACACAGGACAAUUUGAUGAUCACAUUAAAGAUAUUUUUAAGUUGCAUAUUUAAAAUCAAUAUUGUUAACAAUCUGCAAAUUAGAACUUAAUUGAUUGUCGAAAUAAAGAGUCCUUUAAGACCCAAGUCAAGAAAAUUAUAAUAAAGGUUUUAAUAAAGGUUAUAGGCAAAUACACAUUACAGUUUUAAAACCUGGAAAGAUGAAUACAAGCUGAAUUACAAAGAUAUAAUGUUAGUAUAAUGCCUCUCUUAUCCAGAAGUAAUUUAUUAGAAUUUUGUUGGAAGAUAAAUAUUACUUUCUUAUAUUUACCAAUGCUAAGUCUACAGUCAUAUCUAGCAGAAUUAUAACAUAGUGUUAUUCUGCCUGACAACUUUAUAGAAUAAUUUACUCACUGAAGAAUAAUGGAGCCUAAAUCUGUAAGGGACUGACUUGUUCUCUACUUCACAAAGAUACCAGAGUUUAGUUAAUUGUCAGGGACACAUCUGUGCCCUUCUUACCUAGAAGCAUACUCGAUACUCUAUGAGCUAGGAAAGAAUGCUUCUUUAUUUAAAGUUCUCUAAGUGGCCAGGUAUUAGUGUCCCUUGCCUAAAAUCUUAUCACAUGGUUAAUAGGAGCAGAAGAGCGGGGCUUUAAGGAACUCCUGUGGUACAAAACAAAUUAGAGUCUUCUCUGUGGCGUGGGAGACCCUGUCACUGGAAAAGAAGCAGCCAAACCUGAAGUUUUCUCUGGCUGGACAUCAUUGCUCCUUCUCUGGGCAUCAGUGCCCUUACUGCCAACCUCUGAGUCCCUUGCUCACCUGACCUGUUCUUUCCACUUAAGACUUUGCUUUUCUCUUUGUAAUCUACAGUUGCUGGUUGUCCUGUGGUUCUGAGAGCAUCUUUGUCUUACAACUGAAUUCCCUCCUGUGAAUGCUCUUCUGAAGCAUGGUGAUGAUUCUUUGUUCCUGAAACAACCUCUACUCUGUCUGCUUCUAGUUUUCUCUAGCUUGGGUGCACCACAGUUGGAACAUUCCUUAGUUUCCAUUCUGUCCCGUUAGGUUUUUUUUUGUUGUUGUUGUUGUUGUUGUCUUUUCUACAGAAAGUAUUGCUCUGGAGGGAAGAGGGAAGCAAAGAAAAAAGCAAAACAUAAAAGAACAAAACCGGAAUUGGACUUCUUCAUAGUGCAGUAUUGGGUGGCCACUCUGUAUCCAUGCAGGACUGCACCUGCAUUCCUCUUCCAUUGCACUGCAUUCUCUUACCUUUGGACUUCCAACUUCCUUUUCCUGAUCUUCAGUUUUUAUAAAAAAUCCCUACAUGGAAUGUUCUUUUCAUUAAGUAGAAACUUGGCCUGUGCCAUGUUUCAUUCAGAUGUCUUAGUGAAGGUCUAGGUUUACCCAUGGACAGUGCUUACAUAAUCAACAGACUCAGAGUAGGAAAGUGUCUUCAUUGCUGUGAUGAAAUACCAUGACCCAAGCAACUUGGGGUGGAAGCUUAUUGUUAAAGGCUCCUCCUUAAAAGCAGUGAGGGUGCUGGGCAUGGUGGCACACGCCUUUAAUCCCAGCACUCGGGAGGCAGAGGCAGGCAGAUUUCUGGGUUCGAGGCCAGCCUGGUCUACAAAGUGAGUCCAGGACAGCCAGGGCUAUACAGAGAAACCCUGUCUUGAAAGACAAACAAACAAACAAACAAACAAAAAAGCAGGGAACAAGGAAGGAACCUGGAGGCAGGGCUUGACACAGAGACCUUAGAGGGGUGCUGCUUACUGGCUUGCUCUUCAUGGCUUGCUCAGUCUGCUUUCUUACAGAACCCAGACCAGCAUCCCAGGGAUGGAACUAGCCACAACGGCCUGGGCCCUUGCCCAUCAAUCACUAAUUAAGAAAAUGCUUCAUAAGAUUAUCUACAGCCUGAUCUUAUGGAGGCAUUUUCUCAAUUGAGCCUUUCUCCUCUCUGAUAACACUAGCUUCUGUCAAGGUGACGUAAAAUUAGUCAUAUGUGUCUGGUCAACUAUUGUUUUUACCUUAAAAAGCACAUUUGAGGCCAAAUUGAUGAAAGCUGCUUCUAUUUGCUGUUGUUUUUCAUUCCUCAUCAUUAAACAUUCUUCCUAGCACAUUUUCUGAUUUUUUUUCAAGUCACAAAGCCAAUGCAUUGUUUUCUGAUUGAUAUUAGGUCCAGAAAUGGCCGAAGCAAACCCUGGCCAGUGGAGGGAGGAAGUGCAGGUGUUCUUGCAGCAUGUCGCUGAGAUAUUUGAAGAUCUAGGUUUACACUGACACCUUUGUUCUGUCUGUGUGGACUCAUGACUGGAUUCCCAUCUCCAGAAUGUGUUGUCUACUUUUACUGAAUAGAGCCAGUCAUAUAGGGCCUUUUGCAUACUAAACCAGCCCCUUACCAUUGAGCUAUGUUCUCAGCCCCUAUCUUUUGUGUUCUUUCUGUGAAUGUGCAUGGUGUGUGUGUGUGUGUGUGUGUGUGUGUGUGUAUACACACACAUAUACACACAUAUAUACUAUAUAUGUGUAUAUAUAUAUAUAUAUAUAUAUAUAUAUAUGUAAUAUAUGUGUUUUUCAGGAAGAUUGUGCUUUAUAUUCAUGUGUGGUAUGAGUUACUUUCUUUUCUCUGUUCAUGAAUUGUUAUUUUUUUUUUUACUAUUCAUAAUUUUUUUGAAGGUUGUAGUCAUUUUUCUCAAGUUGCAGGAGAAAUCAUCCUGCUUAGUAAUCCAUAUUACUUAGAAUCUUGUUUCCUUAUUGUACACUGAUAAAAUAGUUCCUAUUUUAAAUAUUGAAGCAAUAUACACUAGUGAGUUCUUUGCUGCCCUUACAUCUGUGACCCGGAGAGCCUUUGAAAUGCUGCCUCCUACUGAUACACAUAGAUCUGUCGUAUUAGAGUUCUAAAUGUUACCAAUGUUGUGCACAGUGUGGAACUAAAUGGCAGCCUCAGUAUUUCAGCUCAGAUAUCCUCUUUAUGCCUGUCUCAAUAUAACCAAAUCAAUACUUCAAGUUGUAGAUGAAUUCACUGCUUAGGUGUUUGGUCGUAUUUCAGGUAUUCUUUAAAUGUUAGAUGCUACAGCCAGAAUAAAUAUUUAAAUCAAAAUAUAACCCCUUCAGGGAGAGCCAUGUAAUAUUAGCCACUUAUGCAUAUGCAAUACAUACAUAAUUCAUACUUAUGUGACAAGUAAUAGCUAAGGCAGGUCAGUAAAAUGUAAGAAUUAUGGAAGAUAUAGAAUCAAGUUGAAAUACAAGCUAACUCAUUUUGCUCCUUUAUAAAAUGGUAUGUAUCCUGGGGAAGAAAUCAAUGCUGUAAAAAUCACUACAACAUAUUGCACACAUGGCAUUUGAUGUGCUUACAUUUUAAUAUACAUAACAACUCUAAAAGUAAGUCAUUGUUCAUUCUCUUUAAAUGUGAGGUGAGGAUUCAACAGAUGAGAUAUUGGCUGAUGCUAUGACAGCUAGCGAUCCUACAAUCUGGUAGUCCACAUUAGUGGCUUAUUCCCUCUGUGGUUGAAAGGAAAUUUAGGCUAGCAUGAUGAGGUGAGCCAUGGGUAUGGUAGGAUCACCAUGUAGUAGAGGGCUGAGGUUGGAAAUUAAUCUUUCACAGAGAAGUAUGUAUGCAGAAAUGCAUUGCUAUUACACCACUGAAAUCCAGCUCAAUCUCGUCGUGUGCCCAAAUGUAAACUGCUAAUAUAAUUUAAAACUUCCCACUUUGGUAAGGGCUAAAAUGUCAGUGUUGAGUUUUCUAUAUGCAUUCAUGAAGAUGAACUAGUAUGCUCUGGAUGAAUGGGGAUAUGGUGAUUCUAAAAAUAUCCUCAUAAGCGCUAGCCUCUUAACCCUGGUCACCUUUUGAUGGUUUUAGGAUGAUCUAAAUUUUAACUAGUAGAUGGCACCAAGUAGGGAGGUAGUAAGUACAGACCCCCAUGGCUAUGGAAGUGAACAUGUAAAGUUUUUAGAAUCAGCGUCCCCUGAGCUGUCAGUUAGAACCAGUGAUGUUGACAACUGUCUACUCUACCAUGAGCCAGCCACAUCAAACUCUCCUUAAACUAUCAGUCCUCUUCAGACCUGUGAGCAGUUCUGUCAUCUUCUUUCUUUUUCAGGACACAUUUUAUUUAAUUCUGUAUACUUACAUCAGUAUAUUUCUGUUCCUCUUCUCUAACAUCUAUUUUUUAUUAGAUAUUUUCUUUAUUUACACUUCAAAUGUUAUCCCCUUUCCUGGUUUCCCCUCUGAAAACCCUCUAUCCCCUCCCAACCCAUGCACCCCCAGAUUCCUGGCCCUGGUAUUCCCCUACACUGGGGCUUAGAGCUUUCACAGGUCCAAGGGCCUCUCCUCCCAUUGAUGACAGACUGGGCCAUUCUCUGCUACAUAUGCAGCUGGAGCCAUGAGUCCCACCAUGUGUACUCUUUGGUUGGUGGUUUAAUUUCUGGGAGCUCUGGAGGUACUGGUUGGUUCAUCUUCAGGGAAGGCAGAUAAUAGCAGAAAAUUAAAAUUAUACCUGAUUAAUAAUGAGUAAAUGAAGGUAUACCAGGAAAAAAAUCUUGAAACAGAAGAAAGUUAUGAUAUAUAUUUUAAAAUUUUUAAAUGAAUGGGGUGUUUUCUUUUUAUAAAGGAAGCAUUUACUUAGAUAGCCAAGAAGCUAAUGAUUGUUAUGAAAUACACUAGAGAAACUCUGAGUUUCUUUUUGUAGUCUUAAUCAAGCAACAACAACAACAAAAAAUCCACAACAGACAGACCUAAUGUUUUAGUUCUUGUAGCUAGCUAGAGGUAGAAUAGAUGUUUUACUGCAAAUGAAAAAGCUCAGACUUUCUCAGAGUCAAGUUUGAAUUUUUAAAAGUCUGAAUAUUCAUGGGGGAAUCUAAAAGCUAAAAGCAUCAGGAGAGCUUGAAUAAGAUUGACCAAAAUAAGACUUAAAUGCCAAGAGUUUGUGAAUGGGUUUAAAGUUGACAAUGGACACCUUGAAUUAAAAUGCAGGUCAAUGUAAGAGCAAGUUUGCACAGUUCGUUAUAUUUUCAAUGAAGUCCAACUUUAGCACUCAUUUCUCUCCACUAAUUUAUUUUUCCUUUUCUCUCCCACUUUAAAAGCCUGUCAAUAAGCUAGUUUGGCUAGUGGCAUUAUGCCUUUUGCAUAUUACUGUUUUUUUUUUAAUUAUCAUAUGCUGAUUCAGCUUCCCUCUUCAGAGACUGCCUAGGUUUUCUUUGCC